rnacentral:rRNA from 1 species
GCGAGAGCCCUGAACCAGCCAUGCCGCGGUGCAGGAAGACGGCCCUUCUGGGUUGUAAACUGCUUUUAUAUGGGAAGAAAAAGCCCUUGCCCAGGGAAAUUGCCCCCUACCAUACUGAAUAAGCACCGGCCUAACUCCGUGCCAGCAGCCGCUGGCAAUACGGAGGGUGCAAGCGUUGUCCGGAUUUAUUGGGUUUAAGGGUGCGUAGGCGGGUCUUUAGUCAGUGGUGAAAGCCUGCAGCUAACUGUGAACUGCCAUUGAUACGUGGAGACCUUGAGUAUACUAGAGGUAGGCGGAAUUUAUGGUGUAGCGGUGAAAUGCAUAGAUACCAUAAAGAACACCGAUAGCGUAAGCAGCAUUACUGGAGUAUAACUGACGCUGAUGCACGAAAGCAUGGGUAGCGAACAGGAUUAGAUACCCUGGAUAGUCCAUGCCGUAUACGAUGAUUACUCGAUGUUGGCGAUACAAUGUCAGCGUC